UCACAGAGUGCCUGUGUGGGUUUGAAGAUUAAAGCUCCAUGAUGGAUCCUCAUAGUUCCAGCAGUGGAGGAGGAACCUCUGACCCAAAGGUAAAGCGUGCAGGAUCUCCAGAACCCAGCAGUUCGUCCGUGAAGAGGCGUUGGUCAAUGUCUGAGCCGGACAGCUUCAGCAGUGACGGAGGAGCCUCUGACCCAGGAUUGCAGACUGAGAGAGCAGGUUCUCCAAUGUCCAGUUCUGUGUCUAUGAAGAGUGACCAGUCCAUGGAGGUCCUGUUUUAGUUCAGCAGAGGGGCAGAAGAACCCAGCUCUGUGUCUAUGAAGAGUGACCAGUCCAUGGGGGUCCCGUUUCAGUUCUGCAGAGGGGCAGAAGAGCCCAGCUCUGUGUCUAUGAAGAGUGACCAGUCCAUGGGG